rnacentral:rRNA from 1 species
ACUCUCAGCAACGGAUAUCUGGGCCCUUGCAACGAUGAAGAACGCAGCGAAAUGCGAUACGUAGUGUGAAUUGCAGAAUUCCGCGAAUCAUCGAGUUUCUGAACGCAAGUUGCGCCCGAGGCUUGUCCGAGGGCAUUUCCGCUAGAGCGUCA